UUCUAUCUUGGUUUCUUCUUCAUUUUCAUUUUCACAAUUCAACCAAGAUUGAAAUUUUUUUUUCUUUGUUUUCCACUUUUCCUCCCUUUUGUUUUGUUUUGUUUUGUUGGGCACUGUCAGAUUAUAAGGAUUGUUUUGAUUCUGCCCAAGAAGAAAGCUUAUACCCAUUUGCUCUAUAAUGUGAUUGACCGGCAAGCUCCCCCCUUUCAGGUCAGGAGAUGUUCCUCUGUGAUUUUGACCAUUGAUUUAUUCGUAUGAUCCUCCAACACUGUGGCACUCAAAAGAGAUCAAGUUGGGUGAUUGACAAGAGAUUUUGGAAUAUAAGCAAGUGACAUGAGGCCCUUUAGGGUCUAUUACAAGAUCAGGCUCUCUCCAACUAAUUUUUCUAUUCAUUAGAACCGAUAAACUUGUAUUUUGAGCAAAGAAGGAGAAAAGAAGUAAAAGAGGGAUUGAAAGGUGAAAUCGGC